UGAUCAGCCACACUGGAACUGAGACACGGUCCAGACUCCUACGGGAGGCAGCAGUGGGGAAUAUUGCACAAUGGGCGCAAGCCUGAUGCAGCCAUGCCGCGUGUAUGAAGAAGGCCUUCGGGUUGUAAAGUACUUUCAGUAGGGAGGAAGGUGGUUAAGUUAAUACCUUAAUCAUUUGACGUUACCUACAGAAGAAGCACCGGCUA
rnacentral:rRNA from 1 species